AGCAGUGUGUUCCACAAUGUUUUUUUCUGGGCUUCAAGUCCUGUGAUACACUCAGAACUGUGAAUCUCCUGUGCUUAGUGUAAGCUCAGUUCCUCUGGCCCCCUUCUCUUCUGUACCAACUACUUUUCUGACUGUUUCCUGUCCAUGGAGUUAUGAAGGCUACAGUUCUGGGAGGUGACAACAGCCUGUGGUUAUUUGUUCUCCCAGGAGACAUAACAGGCAUAUAGGAAUUCUGUGGGAAUUUCAAGCAGGGUCUAAAACAAAUUGUAUAAGCUGUGUAACUUUUCCACCUAAAAAUCCACCUUGAUUUUUCCACCUAAAAACUACGGGAUUUUGACUCACUCUUGAUUGCAAGAUUUUUAGUCCUUCCUGGAUGGUGCUAAAAAGAGCAAGAGUGAAGAUUUUCCACUGCAUUUGGAGGUAUGGACAAACAUAGCGGUUACCACAAGAUCAUGUGCAAAAAUAACUUCAACAGAUUAUUGGUAAUACCAAAAGCACAUAUUUAGGGAAAGAAAAACACUUUUGGUAUUAUAAUAGCAUCUCAAUAAAAAGAACAGAAACUUCAUCUUUUAA